rnacentral:rRNA from 1 species
GACGAACGCUGUCGGCGUGCCUAAUACAUGCAAGUUGAGCGAUGAAGAUUGGUGCUUGCACCAAUUUGAAGAGCAGCGAACGGGUGAGUAACGCGUGGGGAAUCUGCCUUUGAGCGGGGGACAACAUUUGGAAACGAAUGCUAAUACCGCAUAACAACUUUAAACAUAAGUUUUAAGUUUGAAAGAUGCAAUUGCAUCACUCAAAGAUGAUCCCGCGUUGUAUUAGCUAGUUGGUGAGGUAAAGGCUCACCAAGGCGAUGAUACAUAGCCGACCUGAGAGGGUGAUCGGCCACAUUGGGACUGGGACACGGCCCAAACUCCUACGGGAGGCAGCAGUAGGGAAUCUUCGGCAAUGGACGAAAGUCUGACCGAGCAACGCCGCGUGAGUGAAGAAGGUUUUCGGAUCGUAAAACUCUGUUGGUAGAGAAGAACGUUGGUGAGAGUGGAAAGCUCAUCAAGUGACGGUAACUACCCAGAAAGGGACGGCUAACUACGUG